rnacentral:rRNA from 1 species
UAAUACGUAGGGGGCAAGCGUUGUCCGGAAUCAUUGGGCGUAAAGCGCGUGUAGGCGGUUCGAUAAGUCUGCUGUGAAAGUCCAGGGCUCAACCCUGGGAUGCCGGUGGAUACUGUCGGACUAGAGUACGGAAGAGGCGAGUGGAAUUCCCGGUGUAGCGGUGAAAUGCGCAGAUAUCGGGAGGAACACCAAUUGCGAAGGCAGCUCGCUGGGACGUUACUGACGCUGAGACGCGAAAGCGUGGGGAGCAAACAGGAUUAGAUACCCUGGUAGUCCACGCCGUAAACGAUGGGCACUAGGUGUGGGAGGUGUCGACUCCUUCCGUGCCGAAGCUAACGCAUUAAGUGCCCCGCCUGGGGAGUACGGCCGCAAGGCUA